UACAGAGGGUGCAAGCGUUAAUCGGAAUUACUGGGCGUAAAGGGUGCGUAGGUGGUUUUUUAAGUCAGAUGUGAAAGCCCUGGGCUCAACCUAGGAAUUGCAUUUGAUACUGAAUAACUUGAGUAUGGUAGAGGGAAGUGGAAUUUCCAGUGUAGCGGUGAAAUGCGUAGAUAUUGGAAGGAACAUCAGUGGCGAAGGCGACUUCCUGGACCAUUACUGACACUGAGGCACGAAAGCGUGGGGAGCGAACAGG
rnacentral:rRNA from 1 species